GUAGGUGAACCUGCGGAAGGAUCAUUACCAUUACCUCAACUGGUGGAUUUCGACUGUUCCCUUGGGUUCAGCCGACUCUCACCUGUUUGAAGUUACCCAUGCCUUUUGCGUACAAUUUGUUUUCCCAGCAGGGCGUUAAGCUCUAACGGGAUACCAAUUCACCCAUGUAUUUGCAGUCAACGUCUGAAAACAAUAAUAAUUACAACUUUUAACAACGGAUCUCUUGGUUCUG
rnacentral:misc_RNA from 1 species